AACACCGCGUUAACUUGGCAUUGAUCUCGACUAGCGAUGCGAAACUUGCGAUUUUUUUUUCUCUCUCUCUCUCUUGUAAGUAAACAAAUCUAGACAAUGGCAAUUGGUAGCUAAUAAAUUCCACUAAAUCACGCGAUGUUGACAAUAAUUAACGAGUGCCGAUGCGGUGAAUAUCGUGCACAUAUUUUAAUACGGAAUGCAACAAUCUUGUUGAUAAAUCGGGAAACCUCCACGAUAAAGUGGUUUAAAUUGCUCGCAGAUAAGAGAUUGAAGUCAAAAUUUGCUUUAAAAAAUUGCAUUUCGCAAAUAUUUUGUAAGGUCUUUACGCCGUCGAAAGAGUCGAAUUGUUUCGAUAAUUCUUAAAAUGGAACAGUUUCUUGCACAGUAUUUAUUUAGUCAAAAACGAAAUUAAAAUUUAGAUAUUUAAUUAGAUCCUAAUUCCGUUACUUAAUUAAAUUUAUUUUUUGUAUUAAUGAUUUUAAAGUGUGUUUUAUCAUUAGUAUAAUGAUUUUGUAGGUUAGAUUUAAAAUAUACGUUGUGAGAAAAAAAAAAUGUAAAUUAAUAUUUAAAUCUUCCAUCAGAGGGACGCUUCCGUCGUUUGGUAGCAACAAUGGCGUUAAAGAAGAAGCGUAGUUAGAAGUGACAUCACGCCAGUAGAAAAAAAUAAUAAUGUCCAAAUGAUUCUAAAAAUACUCGAUCAACAUCAUUUAUCAGAAGCCAGAUAUAAAUAAGGUUAUUGUUUACUAUUUGUCAGAAGCCAGAUAUAAAUAAGACUAUUAUCUGACGUCACGAGAAGGCGUCACGGUUGCCAUGGAAAUUUGACCAUAUUCAUACCCCCUCUCAGGUAAUGUCCGAAGAUACCCUCGAGUCGAACGUUAAGUGUUAAAUUUAUAAUAAUUUUUUUUCUUAUCGGUAAAAUUCGAUUUUGUAUUUAGUCACGUGAAUUGCAUCCACCAAUUAUGACGGAGAUGAAUGUUCGUAUUAAUUGCUGCCAAAUUUUGAAAUUAAUGAGACGAUCAAUUUUUAUCAUUUACAAAUUUGACAAAUAAAAUGAACGAAUUUAUUAUUGCCAAUAUAAAUUAAAUUUGUAAAAAUAAAAAUGCGUACGAUAUUUAUAUUCCGUGUACAAAUUUUUUUAAUAAAAAUUCCAAAUUCGUAGACACGAAAAAUUAAAAUGCUGGAAUGGAUAGCCAUUGUUAGCUAUUGUCUGAGAGAUUAAAAAAUACUGUAUUAAGUUUAAAAAAAAAAAAGCGUUAAUGAUUUAAAUAUAUAUUAAGCAAUCGUUUACCAGGCAAAUGGCGGAUACAGCAGUUUAGUAAAUGACUUCACUCAAUUAAAGAAAAACUUUAGAUAAAAUUAACAUGCUGAUAAAAUGUCAUUGCAAUUCAUUGGUAUUAAUUUUUAGCAAUUAUCAUGGAC
rnacentral:lncRNA from 1 species